UCACGCUGUUAUCCCUAAAGUAAUUAAUUUUGUUAUUUUAAAUUUUAAGAUAUAAUUGUCAUGAAUUUAUGUAUUAGUAUAAAAAGUUUAUUUAAUUUUUAAAUUACCCCAAUUAAAUUUUUAUAAAUUUAUUUAAAGUUUAAUUUUUUAAAAAUAUAAAUUUUAAAAAUAAAAUUUUAUAGGGUCUUGUUGUCUUUUUAAUUUAUUUAAAUUUUUUAAUUUAAAUAAAAAAUUAAAUUUUUUUUUUUUAAUAAAAAAUAUAUUUCAUUAAAUCUUUUAUUCUAGUUUUUAAUUAAAAAACAAAUUAUUAUGCUACCUUAGUACAGUUAUUGAUACUGCAGCUAUUUAAAAUUUUCAUUGGGCAGAUUGGAACUUAAA
rnacentral:rRNA from 1 species